rnacentral:rRNA from 1 species
GAUGAACGCUGGCGGUCUGCUUAACACAUGCAAGUCGAACGAACUCUUCGGAGUGAGUGGCGGACGGGUGAGUAACGCGUGAGAAUCUGCCUGUGGGUCGGGGACAACCACUGGAAACGGUGGCUAAUACCGGAUGAGCCGAAAGGUAAAAAAUUUAUUGCCCACAGAUGAGCUCGCGUCUGAUUAGCUAGUUGGUAAGGUAAAAGCGUACCAAGGCGACGAUCAGUAGCUGGUCUGAGAGGAUGAGCAGCCACACUGGGACUGAGACACGGCCCAGACUCCUACGGGAGGCCAGCAGUGGGGAAUUUUCCGCAAUGGGCGAAAGCCUGACGGAGCAAGACCGCGUGGGGGAGGAAGGUUUUUGGAUCGUAAACCCCUUUUGUCAAGGAAGAAGUUCUGACGGUACUUGACGAAUAAGCCUCGGCUAACUCCGUGCCAGCAGCCGCGGGUAAUACGGAGGAGGCAAGCGUUAUCCGGAAUGAUUGGCCGUAAAGCGUCUGUAGGUGGCCAGCUAAGUCUGCUGUUAAAGAUCACAGCUCA